rnacentral:rRNA from 1 species
UGUCUCAGUUCGGAUUGGAGUCUGNAACCCGACUCCAUGAAGCUGGAUCCGCUAGUAAUCGCGCAUCAGCCACGGCGCGGUGAAUACGUUCCCGGGCCUUGUACACACCGCCCGUCAAGCCAUGGAAGCCGGGGGUGCCUGAAGUGCGCUGCCGCAAGGAGCGCCCUAGGGUAAAACCGGUGACUGGGGCUAAGUCGUAACAAGGUAAC